GGGAAAUUUUGGACAAUGGGCGAAAGCCUGAUCCAGCCAUGCCGCGUGAGUGAAGAAGGCCUUCGGGUUGUAAAGCUCUUUCGCAAGGAAAGAAAACUUAUCUACUAAUACUAGAUGAGGAUGACGGUACCUUGAUAAGAAGCACCGGCUAACUACGUGCCAGCAGCCGCGGUAAUACGUAGGGUGCAAGCGUUAAUCGGAAUUACUGGGCGUAAAGCGAGCGCAGGCGGUUUUGUAAGUCAGAUGUGAAAGCCCCGGGCUCAACCUGGGAACUGCGUUUGAAACUACAAGGCUAGAGUAUGGGAGAGGGAGGUAGAAUUCCACGUGUAGCAGUGAAAUGCGUAGAGAUGUGGAGGAAUACCAAUGGCGAAGGCAGCCUCCUGGCCUGAUACUGACGCUCAUGCUCGAAAGCGUGGGGAGCAAACA
rnacentral:rRNA from 1 species